rnacentral:rRNA from 1 species
GACGAACGCUGGCGGCGCGCCUAACACAUGCAAGUCGAACGGAGCUGAGCGAAGCUUGCUUUUCUUAGCUUAGUGGCGAACGGGUGAGUAACGCGUGAGUAACCUGCCCUGGAGUGGGGGACAACAGUUGGAAACGACUGCUAAUACCGCAUAAGCCCACGAUCCGGCAUCGGAUUGAGGGAAAAGGAUUUAUUCGCUUCAGGAUGGACUCGCGUCCAAUUAGCUAGUUGGUGAGGUAACGGCCCACCAAGGCGACGAUUGGUAGCCGGACUGAGAGGUUGAACGGCCACAUUGGGACUGAGACACGGCCCAGACUCCUACGGGAGGCAGCAGUGGGGGAUAUUGCACAAUGGGGGAAGCCCUGAUGCAGCGACGCCGCGUGGAGGAAGAAGGUUUUCGGAUUGUAAACUCCUGUCGUUAGGGACGAUAAUGACGGUACCUAACAAGAAAGCACCGGCUAACUACGUG